ACACUUCCUUCCAUCAAUCUUUCAGCUAUCAAUAGUCCUACAGCACUAUGGCAUGCAUAUCUCUCUCUCUCUCUCUCCAUCUGGCUGAUGAUCAUAGGGCAUAUGAGGGAAGCAGGAGGAAUCAGAAGGAAUAUCUGUUGAUCUCUGCAGAGGCACCAUCCUGACAGGUGGUGGUUUGGUUUGGUUUUUUAUGCUAGGACUAUCAAUCUUUCAGGACUAUCAAAGGUUUCUUCAUGAGUCUUUCUCAGCCACCUCUUCCCCAAUCCUACUUCACCUACUAAUUCUGAGAAGAUUAAUAACCUCUAGCCUCAAUCCAUUUGCUUGCGAUUAAAGCUAGAACAGGUGCUCACUGCAGCUGGUUGCUACUAGUUUCCAAGAAGAAUAAAGGUAGAGUAGUAAAACCAGAGUCUGAAAAUAUAUCAUUCUAACCACAAGCUUUAAACAUUUAAGGUGAAAUAUUCUUGGAUCACAA